ACUCAAAGGAAUAGACGGGGGCUCACACAAGCGGUGGAGCAUGUGGUUUAAUUCGAAGCAACGCGCAGAACCUUACCUGGGCUUGACAUCCUAGGAUUAUCUCUAUGAAAGUAGAGUACGCCUCUUUGAGGUGGAACUAGGACAGGUGCUGCAUGGCUGUCGUCAGCUCGUGUCGUGAGAUGUCGGGUUAAGUCCCUUAACGAGCGAAACCUUUGCCCUUAGUUGCCAGCGGGUAAUGCCGGGGACUCUAAGGGGACUGCCGGUGUCAAACCGGAGGAAGGUGGAGAUGACGUCAAGUCAUCAUGGCCCUUAUGUCCAGGGCUACACACGUGCUACAAUGGCGCGGACAAAGCGAGCCGAAACCGUGAGGUAGAGGAAAUCGCAAAAACCGCGCCCAAGUUCAGAUCGAAGGCUGCAACUCGCCUUCGUGAAGUUGGAAUCGCUAGUAAUCGCGGAUCAGCUACGCCGCGGUGAAUGUGUUCCUGAGCCUUGCACACACCGCCCGU
rnacentral:rRNA from 1 species